rnacentral:rRNA from 1 species
CCUACGGGUGGCAGCAGUGAGGAAUAUUGGUCAAUGGGCUUACGCCUGAACCAGCCAAGUCGCGUGAGGGAAGACUGCCCUAUGGGUUGUAAACCUCUUUUGUCAGGGAGCAACGCCGGCUACGUGUAGCCGGACUGAGAGUACCUGAAGAAAAAGCAUCGGCUAACUCCGUGCCAGCAGCCGCGGUAAUACGGAGGAUGCGAGCGUUAUCCGGAUUUAUUGGGUUUAAAGGGUGCAGGCGGCAGCUAAGGUCUGCGGUGAAAGCCCGAAGCUAAACUUCGGUAAGCCGUGGAAACCGAGCAGCUAGAGUGCAGUAGAGGAUCGUGGAAUUCCAUGUGUAGCGGUGAAAUGCGUAGAUAUAUGGAGGAACACCAGUGGCGAAGGCGACGAUCUGGGCUGCAACUGACGCUCAGUCCCGAAAGCGUGGGGAGCAAAUAGGAUUAGAUACCCGUGUAGUC